rnacentral:misc_RNA from 1 species
AACCAUAGAAACCUGCGGAGUACCUGCGGAAGGAUCAUUACCGAGUUUACAACUCCCAAACCCCUGUGGACAUACCACUUGUUGCCUCGGCGGAUCAGCCCGCUCCCGGUAAAACGGGACGGCCCGCCAGAGGACCCCUAAACUCUGUUUCUAUAUGUAACUUCUGAGUAAAACCAUAAAUAAAUCAAAACUUUCAACAACGGAUCU